GAGUUUGAUCCUGGCUCAGGACGAACGCUGGCGGCGUGCUUAACACAUGCAAGUCGAACGCUGAUCCCGCUUCGGUGGGUGAUGAGUGGCGAACGGGUGAGUAACACGUGGGUAAUCUGCCCUGCACUCUGGGAUAAGCCUUGGAAACGAGGUCUAAUACCGGAUAUCACAAUCUCUCGCAUGGGGGGUUGUUGAAAGUUCUGGCGGUGCAGGAUGAACCCGCGGCCUAUCAGCUUGUUGGUGGGGUAGUGGCCUACCAAGGCGACGACGGGUAGCCGGCCUGAGAGGGUGACCGGCCACACUGGGACUGAGACACGGCCCAGACUCCUACGGGAGGCAGCAGUGGGGAAUAUUGCACAAUGGGCGAAAGCCUGAUGCAGCGACGCCGCGUGAGGGAUGACGGCCUUCGGGUUGUAAACCUCCUUCGCCAGGGACGAAGCGCAAGUGACGGUACCUGGAUAAGAAGCACCGGCUAACUACGUGCCAGCAGCCGCGGUAAUACGUAGGGUGCGAGCGUUGUCCGGAUUUAUUGGGCGUAAAGAGCUCGUAGGCGGUUUGUCGCGUCGGCCGUGAAAUCUCCACGCUUAACGUGGAGCGUGCGGUCGAUACGGGCAGACUUGAGUUCGGUAGGGGAGACUGGAAUUCCUGGUGUAGCGGUGAAAUGCGCAGAUAUCAGGAGGAACACCGGUGGCGAAGGCGGGUCUCUGGGCCGAUACUGACGCUGAGGAGCGAAAGCGUGGGGAGCGAACAGGAUUAGAUACCCGGUAGUCCAA
rnacentral:rRNA from 1 species